rnacentral:rRNA from 1 species
ACAUGAACAUCGACAUUUUGAACGCAUAUAGCGGUUCAUACUGACUAGUUUCCUAACCGAAGCUGUAUGGACCACACAUGGUUGAGGGUCGUGUGUUUAUGCUAACUGAAUUGCUGUUGCUUCUUCGGAAGUAUUCGGCUACAUGCUGAGGCGUUGUCAAUCUUAAGUGUAUUGCCAUCCCUUGAAAAUACCUAUUGCAGGUACACAAUUUCAUAUUAUUUGUGGAAUGCUUGUUUUAUCAAAGAGAACAAAUGGAGGUAGAAUCGUCUAGUGCGGUACGCAUUGUACAAAGGCUACGUGCUGGUGUCUAUGAUUCGUAACUAGUAAACUUUGAUUUAAGCGUUUAAACAUAAUAGUUUACGCAUUUCGAAGUGGAAAGUAAAACACGUUUGACAUCGGUAUUCACGUACUUAAAAUGUCGUGUGCUGUAGCUGGGAUACAUACGCCAUUCUUGUCGUUAAUUUUCUUUGAAGCUAUAGAAAACAAUUCCCAUCAGAAAGCGGGUGGUAUUUCACAUCAAAAUAAUAUGUAUAUUGAAAAUAAACAUACAACAAAGCGACCUCAACUCAUGUGAGACUACCCC